CAGACUUGAAACUAGAACUUAUCUGAAGUUUCCAAAUCUAUGUUGAAAGGAAGAGGAUUCUGAAAGCCCCAGACUUUUUAAGGAACAUGGCAAAUAACAAGUGUGACUGUGAAGUGAACCUAUGACUGGAAACUGAAGCCAGAAUCUCUGCAUUCCUUGCAAGUACCCAUGGUUCCUUUAAUUAUACUCCGGGCUUGUAAACAGGAAAGUGUUUCACAGAUGUAGAAAAUCCAAGAGAUUUUAAAGAUGGGAGAAUGAUGUUCAGUUUCCCUGUGUGACAAAGCUUGGAAAAUGGAAUAAAGGAACUGCCUCAUGGGAGAGAGUGAGGCUGAAGCCGUCGCACAGAAGCAGCAGAGCUGGAAGCAGAAAGGUCAGAGCCCCAAGGGCUUUCAAUUCCAUCUCUUGUUGCUCCUAAGUACAAUCCAGCCUUUUCUAGUUACA